AAGGAUCAUUACCGAGUAUCGGGCCUCAGCGCCCGCACUCCAACCCUCUGUGUACCAACUUUGUUGCUUUGGCGGGCCCGCGGUGUAACGCCGCCACCGGCUCUCGCUGGUCAGUGCCCGCCAGAGGACCGUCAAACUCUUGUUUAAGCAGUGUAGUCUGAGCGAAUUUUAAUAGUUAAAACUUUCAACAACGGAUCUCUUGGUUCUG
rnacentral:misc_RNA from 1 species